rnacentral:rRNA from 1 species
UAGGGAAUCUUCGGCAAUGGACGGAAGUCUGACCGAGCAACGCCGCGUGAGUGAAGAAGGUUUUCGGAUCGUAAAGCUCUGUUGUAAGAGAAGAACGAGUGUGAGAGUGGAAAGUUCACACUGUGACGGUAUCUUACCAGAAAGGGACGGCUAACUACGUGCCAGCAGCCGCGGUAAUACGUAGGUCCCGAGCGUUAUCCGGAUUUAUUGGGCGUAAAGCGAGCGCAGGCGGUUAGAUAAGUCUGAAGUUAAAGGCUGUGGCUUAACCAUAGUACGCUUUGGAAACUGUUUAACUUGAGUGCAAGAGGGGAGAGUGGAAUUCCAUGUGUAGCGGUGAAAUGCGUAGAUAUAUGGAGGAACACCGGUGGCGAAAGCGGCUCUCUGGCUUGUAACUGACGCUGAGGCUCGAAAGCGUGGGGAGCAAACAGGAUUAGAUACCCUGGUAGUCCACGCCGUAACGAUGAGUGCUAGGUGUUGGGUCCUUUCCGGGACUCAGUGCCGCAGCUAACGCAUUAAGCACUCCGCCUGGGGAGUACGACCGCAAGGUU